rnacentral:rRNA from 1 species
AACGUAGGAGGCGAGCGUUAUCCGGAUUUACUGGGCGUAAAGCGCGCGUAGGCGGCUCAACAAGUUGGGCGUUAAAGCUCCUGGCUUAACUGGGAGAGGUCGUUCGAAACUGUUGGGCUUGAGGUUGGGAGAGGGGUGUGGAAUUCCCGGUGUAGUGGUGGAAUGCGUAGAUAUCGGGAGGAACACCAGUGGCGAAGGCGGCACCCUGGCCCACACCUGACGCUGAGGUGCGAAAGCGUGGGUAGCAAACAGGAUUAGAUACCCUGGUAGUCCACGCUGUAAACGAUGUCAACUAGGUGUUGGUAGUGUUACACUAUCAGUGCCGAAGCAAACGCGUUAAGUUGACCGCCUGGGGACUACGGCCGCAAGGCUA